UACGAAGGGGGCUAGCGUUGCUCGGAAUUACUGGGCGUAAAGCGCGCGUAGGCGGCUUUGCAAGUCGGGUGUGAAAUCCCCAGGCUUAACCUGGGAACUGCAUUCGAGACUGCAUUGCUAGAGUAUGGGAGAGGGAAGUGGAAUUUCCGGUGUAGCGGUGAAAUGCGUAGAUAUCGGGAGGAACACCUGUGGCGAAGGCGGCCCCCUGGUUGGAUACUGACGCUGAUACGCGAAAGCGUGGGGAGCAAACAGGGAUU
rnacentral:rRNA from 1 species